UCCCGUNUCUGUUCUGUUGGUUUUUGGAAAACGAGAUAAUGAUCGAGAGGGACAGACGGGGGCAUUCGUAUUGCGGCGCUAGAGGUGAAAUUCUUGGACCGUCGCAAGACGAACUACUGCGAAAGCAUUUGCCAAGAAUGUUUUCAUUGAUCAAGAACGAAAGUCAGAGGUUCGAAGGCGAUCAGAUACCGCCCUAGUUCUGACCAUAAACGAUGCCAACCAGCAAUCCGCCUGAGUUACUCAAAUGACUCGGCGGGCAGCUUCCGGGAAACCAAAGUAUUUGGGUUCCGGGGGAAGUAUGGUUGCAAAGCUGAAACUUAAAGGAAUUGACGGAAGGGCACCACCAGGAGUGGAGCCUGCGGCUUAAUUUGACUCAACACGGGAAAACUUACCCGGCCCGGACACUGGAAGGAUNGACAGAUUGAGAGCUCUUUCUUGAUUCGGUGGAUGGUGGUGCAUGGCCGUUCUUAGUUGGUGGAGCGAUUUGUCUGGUUAAUUCCGAUAACGAACGAGACUCCAGCCUA
rnacentral:rRNA from 1 species